GACGAACGCUGGCGGCGUGCUUAACACAUGCAAGUCGAACGGAAAGGCCCUGCUUGCAGGGUACUCGAGUGGCGAACGGGUGAGUAACACGUGGGUGAUCUGCCCUGCACUUCGGGAUAAGCCUGGGAAACUGGGUCUAAUACCGGAUAUGACCUUCCAUGUAGUGUGGGGGGUGGAAAGAUUUAUCGGUGUGGGAUGAGCCCGCGGCCUAUCAGCUUGUUGGUGGGGUAAUGGCCUACCAAGGCGUCGACGGGUAGCCGGCCUGAGAGGGUGGACGGCCACAUUGGGACUGAGAUACGGCCCAGACUCCUACGGGAGGCAGCAGGGGGGAAUAUUGCACAAUGGGCGGAAGCCUUAGGCAGCGACGCCGCGUGGGGGAUGACGGCCUUCGGGUUGUAAACCUCUUUCGACAGGGACGAAGCUUCGGUGACGGUACCUGUAUAAGAAGCACCGGCUAACUACGUG
rnacentral:rRNA from 1 species